UGUCAUUUUGUGCUUGUGUCAUUUUAGAAUCUGUGGUGAAGGUAAUUCCUGUGAAGGGGCUGGAGAGGAGGUUGAAUUGAAUUUCAAAGAGUAGUAAGUAGAGAAUUAGUCUUGGAGUCAUGAAGACUUGGAUUUAUGUACGGCCUCUAACAUAUACUACAUGACCCUGCAUAGUUUCUUCAACUCAGUG
rnacentral:lncRNA from 1 species